AAAGAAAUAAGUUCAGCACUAAGUCACUUUGUCUUUAUGGCAAAUGUGAGAUGCAGUGUAUGGAAUGUUCAAUUUCUAGUAUGAGAAAUUAACGAUUUAAGUCCUUCUUAAAUGAGGCCAUUUACCCAUAGAGGGUGCCAGGCCCGUAUAACGUUAAUGAUUACUAGAGAACAUUUCCAAAGAGUCGUGUUGCUUGAUAGUGCAGCACUAAGUGGGUGGUAAACUCCAUCUAAAACUAAAUAUAACCAUGAGACCGAUAGUAAACAAGUACCGUGAGGGAAAGUUGAAAAGAACUCUGAAUAGAGAGUUAAAUAGUACGUGAAACUGCUUAGAGGUUAAGCCCGAUGAACCUGAAUAUCCAUUAUGGAAAAUUCAUCAUUAUGAUUGUGAUAUGAAUAAUAUUAUAAUAAUGGUGUGCAUUUUUUCCAUAUAAGGACAUUGUAAUCUAUUAACAUGCCAUAAUUUAUCAUAAGAUCAAUGAUUAAAGUUUAUUCUUAUUAUUUUGCUUGCAAUUUAACAUGGAAUAAAUUCGUUGAUUUGAUAAAGUGUUGAUAGGCUUAUUAUAUACAGUGCUUGAAUAUUUAUAUUCUAUAAUAGCAUGGUAAUCAUUGAUUAUUGUGUUUAUUAUAUGCACUUGUAUGAUUAACAAUGCGAAAGAUUCAGGAUACCUUCGGGACCCGUCUUGAAACACGGACCAAGGAGUCUAACAUAUUUGCAAGUUAUUGGGAAUUAAAAACCUAAUAGCGAAAUUAACAUAACUUAUUAUUUAAUGGGAUUAGUUUUUGGCUAUUUAUAGUCUAUUAAUUCAAUCCCGGGGCGUUCUAUCAGUUAUGUAUUUUAAUACUUGUAUUAUUUAUACCUCUAACUAGAGCGUACCUUGAGCAUAUAUGCUGUGACCCGAAAGAUGGUGAACUAUACUUGAUCAGGUUGAAGUCAGGGGAAACCCUG
rnacentral:rRNA from 1 species